UCUUGGGAGAUUCCGCCGUCUCCAUCACACCCUCUCCAACACCAAGUCUUGUUACUGUUAAUCGUCCAGUUGUGAAAAGCUGAUUACGUUACGGAGUUUGGUAGAGUGUAAUCAUCGUAUUCAAAGCCGUUAUUAACCAUUCAUCACCACUCCUCACACGAUCUACCUUUCAAUGCAUCCCAUUUACUUCCUUUCUUGGAAUUUUCAAGUAUAAAUAGGCAACCCUCAUUCAAGCAACCGUGAUCUCGACCGUCUGAACACCUUCAAGCAUAUUUUCAAGGGGGGUUCAAUGUACUAAGUAAGCGUAAGCGGCUUUGAUGUUACCCGGAGCAGUUUGAAUUUCAAGCUGUCAGACACUCCUCUAUCGAUUCGAUUCAGUGAUUUAACCGCUUUUGCUGAGAUAACCCAACCUGUUAGUCCAAUUCAUGAGGACCGUUCCCAAUUCUGUAAUAAUGAUGAGCUGAUAGGCCUAGCAAACAUCAAGACCCAUUUUUCAGCAACUGAUGCAGAAAAUUGCAGAGUUGGUACCGAGAUAUCCAUAAUAAGUGAAGAACUCAGAAUCUCAGAAAGUGACGUAUCAGGAACUUCAUGCCACAAAUUCAACCGCCGCAACUUCUUCAAAGUCAGACAAAGGUGGGAAGAAGAAGAGAUAAGCAAGUCCUUUCCAUCUCUCUUUAAUUUUACUGGACAUCGCAUCAGAUUCUAUGGUUUGUUAAUGUCCAAAACUCCUGCUGAAACACAAGUUGUGUUUGUUGAUGUAAAAGAGUUUGUUGGUUUCAUCACUGUGCCCUUGCCUUUUUUUCCGUCGUCAUGUCAAUAGACAAAAUGUUAAAAACAAAGGGAACAUAACGUCUUUCUUUUGUUACUGUAUUGUCGACGUCUUUCUUUUUUUCCUCCGCGGACGAUCAGAAACACUUGUGUAUUUCUAU